rnacentral:rRNA from 1 species
AUUGAACGCUGGCGGCAUGCUUUACACAUGCAAGUCGAACGGUAACAGGGUGCUUGCACCGCUGACGAGUGGCGAACGGGUGAGUAAUGCGUCGGAACGUGCCGAGUAGUGGGGGAUAACGCAGCGAAAGUUGUGCUAAUACCGCAUACGUACUGAGGUAGAAAGCGGGGGACCUUCGGGCCUCACGCUAUUCGAGCGGCCGACGUCUGAUUAGCUAGUAGGUGAGGUAAAGGCUCACCUAGGCGACGAUCAGUAGCGGGUCUGAGAGGAUGAUCCGCCACACUGGGACUGAGACACGGCCCAGACUCCUACGGGAGGCAGCAGUGGGGAAUUUUGGACAAUGGGCGAAAGCCUGAUCCAGCCAUGCCGCGUGUCUGAAGAAGGCCUUCGGGUUGUAAAGGACUUUUGUCAGGGAGGAAAUCCCUAGUGCUAAUAACACUGGGGGAUGACAGUACCUGAAGAAUAAGCACCGGCUAACUACGUGCCAGCCGCCGCCGUAAGAC